GGGUUAUUGUGUGUAGAUUGACGAGGACAUUUCUUUAAUUUAAUGCAUUUUAGAAUAAUGCUGUAAUGUAACAAAAUGUGGAAAAAGUCAAUGGGUCUGAAUACUUUCCGAAUGCACUGUGUAGUGUUCAUCACUCAACAACCCUACAUAGAAGCUUGCUACCCUCUAAUUGCCUGUGUUCUUAUGUGUGUUGAGUGUUUGCAUGUCAAUGGGCCUGCCUUUGCUGUGCCUAAUUGAGGUUGUUUUUCAGUCUCCUGUAGGGUAGCUUCCCUGUGAGCCCUGUGCCGCGGCCGCCGCAUCGUGAAGGGGGGCGUUGUUCACGAACAGAACAGAUCUCUCUGACAGAUGUAUGCACUGGGCCUGGUUCACAAAGGGCUGAGGAGAGAAUGCAUGUCUUUGUGGGGCCUGUGGCUUUCCACAGCCUGGCCUUUGUGAUUCAACACCACUGAGUCACUGGCCUCUAGGUCUAUAGCCAGAGCUCCAGAGCCAGAGCAGCACCACUGGCGCUUGGCUGGCCAUGACUCACACACAUGGCCUGGAUUCAGCAUGGAGCAGAGGGGAGCCAGCAAAGACCAAAAGACAUUGAUAAAAUCACAUGUAAUGCUUGGUGAGGUUUAAUUCAUCAAAGGGAUGAUUUGUCUCCACCACCUCCAAUGUGUGUUUGAAUAUGUGGGAGGAAUCAAUAUUAAUUAUCUAGUGUCAGAGCAAAGCGUAACCCAGCUGACACUUGAUGACUUGUAAUUGGCUAUGGAGAUGUGUCGAGUUAACGAAGAUGUGUAGAGUUAGAUUAGAUGUGUAGAGGUAGAGGAGAUGUGUAGAGUUAGAGGAGAUGUGUAGAGUUAGAGGAGAUGUGUAGAGGUAGAGGAGAUGUGUAGAGGUAGAGGAGAUGUGUAGAGUUAGAGGAGAUGUGUAGAGGUAGAGGAGAUGUGUAGAGUUAGAGGAGAUGUGUAGAGGUAGAGGAGAUGUGUAGAGUUAGAGGAGAUGUGUAGAGGUAGAGGAGAUGUGUUGAGUUAGAGGAGAUGUGUAGAGGUAGAGAAGAUGUGUUGAGUUAGAGGAGAUGUGUAGAGGUAGAGGAGAUGUGUAGAGGUAGAGGAGAUGUAUUGAGUUAGAGGAGAUGUUUAGAGGUAGAGAAGAUGUGUUGAGUUAGAGGAGAUGUGUAGAGGUAGAGGAGAUGUGUAGAGUUAGAAAUGUGUAGGGUUAGCCUGUAGCUCAUCUCUCCACCAGAGAGCUCUGUGACCCCUGACCCUGCUACUCUGGAGGCCAGAAAGAGCCACAGGAUACUGAAGCUGACUGGCAGCUAGAAAUGAUCUGUGCCUGGACCUAGAUGAAGUUGACUGGCAGCUAGAGAGGAUCUGUGCCUGGGCCUAGAUGAUGCUGACUGGCAGCUAGAGAGGAUCUG
rnacentral:lncRNA from 1 species